rnacentral:rRNA from 1 species
GAUGAACGCUGGCGGCGUGCCUAAUACAUGCAAGUCGAGCGAACGGACGAGAAGCUUGCUUCUCUGAUGUUAGCGGCGGACGGGUGAGUAACACGUGGAUAACCUACCUAUAAGACUGGGAUAACUUCGGGAAACCGGAGCUAAUACCGGAUGAUAUUUUGAACCGCAUGGUUCAAAAGUGAAAGACGGUCUUGCUGUCACUUAUAGAUGGAUCCGCGCUGCAUUAGCUAGUUGGUAAGGUAACGGCUUACCAAGGCAACGAUGCAUAGCCGACCUGAGAGGGUGAUCGGCCACACUGGAACUGAGACACGGUCCAGACUCCUACGGGAGGAAGCAGUAGGGAAUCUUCCGCAAUGGGCGAAAGCCUGACGUAGCAACGCCGCGUGAGUGAUGAAGGUCUUCGGAUCGUAAAACUCUGUUAUUAGGGAAGAACAUAUGUGUAAGUAACUGUGCACAUCUUGACGGUACCUAAUCAGAAAGCCACGGCUAACUACGUG